AUUAGUUUUUGUAUUGGAAGGGCUCG
rnacentral:piRNA from 1 species